rnacentral:lncRNA from 1 species
UCUAGAGCACAGCCCUGUCCAUGUGAGCAGUCUCCUUCAGCUUCCUUCUCCAUGCUUAUUUCUCAAUUUGAAUGCCAGGCAAGAUCAUCAUGGCUGACAGGAGAGGCUCCAGCAUGGAAUGAUCCUAUACUGAACAAAUCCUAUGAAGAUUCAAGGAAUAGACUCCGUCCAGGGAGAAGAAGGAACAGGCCAUGAGACCCAAGCCUCAACUCUUGCACAAGAAUGGGUGUAUUUUCUCCCAGAGAAAGAUGAUCCAGAAACAAUGCUUGGAAAGAAGGAGAAGGAGUGGAAAUGACAGAAAAGAAGCAAAAGGAAGAAAUAAUAAUUUUGAAAUCAUCAUAGGAUCCAGCUGUCCACACUCAGCGUUGUUUCUGGCCUCUAGCCGUGGCUUUGGUGACGUGAGUGUAAAUUUCGUGCUUCCUACGCUACAGUUUCUGAAAGGAGGAUUGGUUUUUAAGCAAGUAUUCAAAACCAGCUCCCAUCUCCCUUCAUAUCGGUCAAACAAUCCAACUUAAUCAAGAGCAUUCUAUUUGCUCAAAUGUUCUUGUGUUAUUUCAUUAAAAGGC